CAGCUCUUACUGCCCGUGGGUCCUGCCCCCAUGCUACUCCAUGCUAUUCUCUAAAUAAAAGAGCACCACUGCCAGACCUUGAGAGUCCAAGAAAUCUUUCUUUUGACUCUUCGGCUCGCCGCCCCCACAUCACUGGGAGUAAAAACAGUUCAUAACACCUAUAUUUUCCCUCACUGGACAAAAGAUCAGUUAAACUGAGGCCUUUGAUAUAAUCUUUCUGGGCCUCAGCCUCCUCAUUUGUCUGGGAGGUAAGGUAGACUCAGACAGUAUCUUCCAGUCUGUAGUGCUAGGGCUUCUAAAUUAUAUGUGACCAUAUAUAUUGAUGUCACUGAACAAAGGGCAUGAUCUUCUCACGGCAAGACAAAAGCCAAUCUGCCAAGAGGCAAGACGGUGGUAGAAAAAGGACUUUUAUCAGGUGAUGAGCAAGCUAAUUAGAAGACGGUGGACCAGUGUCCUAAAGAACCAUCUUAAGGGAUAUCAGGAACCUUGAAGCAGCUAUACGGGGCUAGAGGGCUAUCGAGGAAAAGGUCAGGAAUGCCGGGCCUCUGGUGCUGUAGGCUGGGAGUGGCCCCACCAGACCUCUCAGCUGCUGUUGCUGAUGGACGCCAGUAUAGACUCUCUGUCUGCGGGUCAUCACAUUCCUAAGGAACUCAGAAGAACAAAGUCAUCGUCUCAACGCAGCUGGAAGGUAUAUAUGUAAGCAGGGGUCAUAAAAUCAUGAUGCAUGCAGUUUUCUUUGUGUUCCAGCUACUUAUUAUCUAGCCUACAUGCAAGCUGGACGUAUGUCCAGCUGGAUUAAUUACUUAGAGGUUAUACAGAGUUAUAACACAGCUUCCUUGCUACAGUGUGGCUUCCCUUAUGUCAAACUCGUAUUGAGCCGGUAUCAUUGGUAGAUUUAAUUUUUGAAAAUACGUUUCCUUUUGAUAAAGAUUUCUACAGAUGCAGAAGCUUAAUGAGCUACCAACUUUGUGCACUCAGCAACAUGACAGACCAGAAACAUAGAAUUUGCUUUAUGCUGGAAGUAAACAGAAUGACGAGGCCACUCUCCUAUCUUAAAAAAAAACCCAAAAGGAUAAAAUUUAGAAGUACAGCUCCAAAACACCAAAUAGAGGGAUUUCCUUUCUGCCUAUGAUUAAGAACAAAAAUCAGUGCCCACAUUACUUCUUUUGUUUGUGUGCUUUUUCUACCAUAUUAUUUUAAAUACUUGUCUAAAAUUGGUAACGUGAUGCAUAAACAAGAGACCUAUUGAAUUAGAUAGAAAGAAAAGUAGUGGCUAAGUCCUCAAGUCAGACCAGAACUUUGAGCGCUGUCCUCGGGCCAUGCUGGGAGAGGGUUAUAAUGAGAUCCCUCCGCAAUUACCCAGACCAUGUUGCAUGUGACCCAUGAGCACCCCAAAUCCACAGUAGGCUGAAGUCGAGCUCCAAGGACACCACCUCUAUUCAUCGUCUGCUGAGAUGCCAGACUGAGACUGCAGUCCCAGAGAAUUCUAGUUUCCCCAGUACAAGCUUAUCCUGAUGUUAGAGUCGCUCAUCUAAUAUUUGAUGUUUAGUAUUUACAUUUCAUAUACUUAAAUGUAUUUAUCUACUUUUGUAUACUUACUACUUAAUAUUUAAUACUCUUCGACAGUCAACUCUUCAGUAUUCAAAUUCAACUGUUGGUUUACGUUUCUGUUAUUUCAUUUGCUUGUUAGAUGGAUUUUUAGUAAAAAUAUAAUAAAUGAUACAGUAUAAAAUAUUUCUUCUAUUUCUACAGGGGAUCAUCACUGAUGAACAUAGGUUUAUAGGAAAAGACUCAUGAAAAUGCUAGAACUAAUUUAUUUUUCUAGGUGUACAGUUUGUGCCCUGGGAAGAGGAGAUGGGAAGGCACACUGGAGAGACACCGUGCGUCCACAUUUUAAGCUGGCAGUAGGCACUCGUAUGGCUCAGAAUGGGGGUCCUGCAGUGCCUUCUGGCUUCCUGGCAUGCUGGAUGGUCCCAUGCGGAUGGAGCAGAGAGCUGAGCCAAGUGGCCUGCGAUACAGUGACAGUUCAGACCGUGUAACCUCAACUGAUGGCAGUAAAGCAAAGCCCCAGCGUGGCGGUGUUUCUGCAUGAGAGGAGGCUCUGGUUAGACAGCAGAAGCCAGGAGAACAUGCUCAGCAGGCUCCUUCAUUCAUCCACUGAUAUAAGGAGCAUUUCCUGAGAGCUGGCUCUGAGCCAAGCAGUGCCCUCGUGCCAGGAACAUGGUGUUUCUGAAAGAAGAACAUAACUAAAUCUAGAUGGGUUCCAUCACUCACUCGACCGUUGGACUCGUGUUCCGGUAAGAGACUUGCACGUGUGACUCCAUCAUCUCUUCCUUUACUCAUUUGAUAGGAAAGAGGAGUCCAUUGCUGAUGCCUCCCCCAGAGGUGUCUUUUCAUUUGAAUUUUCAACUCAAUUUUCAGUUUUACAUGUAUUCUGCACAGAGUUUCUCUCUUUGUUUUUCCUGAAUGAAGGAAACAAAAAUAUCUCUAGAUUGGCCCACUCUAAGAGAUAAUAUAUAAAAGUCACAAGGCAUCAGCUCGACUUAUGUCUUGUAAGUACAAAAAAAGCCACGAGGGUGAAUAUUUUUCAUAUCAUAUUUAAAAGUCAAAAUAUGCAUUCCAUAUCACUAAAGCAUAUAGAAAUCCAUUAGCUGUCAUCCAUGCAAAGGAUAAACUUAAAAACUGAUCAGAUAUAAAUAAAGUGGGAAGUCUGGCAUAAAGAAUAAAUCCAUAACGGCACCUGAGUGCUGACCCUGAUAGAUCUCAAGUUUAGAUGGAGCGUUUAUCUGCUUUCAGACCAACGUGGGAUCUGAUCAGGCUAACACAAGUCUGACUCGUUUAUUUAAUUAUUUUUUUAAAACAAAGUAAAUACCUCAAAACUAUUCCUCACAAGGAUCGAUCCAGUGGAAAAUGUGAAGCAUUCUAAGAUACAAGGAAAGUUCUUUAUGCUGACAUCCUUUGGAAAAUUGGGACUUAGAACGAAGAGUGCCGAGUUUCCCAUUCAUUCAGAAAGCCAGCCUCCAAACCGAAUAGUAAAAACAAACUAAGUAGUAACAAAUCAGUCAUUUUUCUUUUUAAUAGAGAGGACAUAAAGAUAUGGGCAAACCUCAAGGAAACAUCUUUGUUCAACAUUUUAAGAGUCAAAUUAUUUUCAUUUAGAGUUUCUUUUCUUUCCUUUUCUUUAUCACUCUUUCCCCUCCAUGUCGUCUCCCCUCUCCCUCCCUCUCCCUCUCUUCUCUCUUUAUCACUAUCUCUAUCUCUGUCUCUAUAUCUCUCUCUCUUUCUCUCCCUGUCUCUCUCUCUCUCUCCUUCUCUCUUUGUCUCUGUCUCUCUCUCCCUCUCUCCCUCUCUCUUUAAGCCAGAGGACAUAACUUUAAGGGCAGGGAGGAAGUUCAGUAGAUGACAAAGAUUGGCUGUGCUAAGCCGUUCUGCAGAGCAAACAGGUAUGUAUUAGGGAAAUAAAGGUCUGAUCUAAAAGAGCUAGAUUUGCCUUGAGCACGUGGCCCUGGCCAGCUGCAGGUAAUGAAGGGAAAAUUGCUGGCUGGUGCCGGGCCCUGAAGGUGAAGAUGAGAAGAUGUGAACAUCAGGUGGGACUCCGCAGGGGACUAAUAAAAGGAUUAGAAGGUCAGAAGGGUGGAAAGAAAGGUUAAUUUCAUAGCAACAUUUUGAGCAGGCUUAGGAGAAGGGAAAAUUGUAAAGAAGGCCAAAUGAGGGCUCAGAGAAGAGUUAAGUUAGAUAAAAUCCCAAUGUGGAAGGAGGGCAAAGAAACAAAGAUGACCCCUGUAGGAAGAGUGGUGAGCAGGGAUAGCUAGGAAAAGACCAUGUGGAGCAUUAGAAAACUGUGAAGUAGACAUUUAUGUUAGAGAAAUUACCUGAGAUUUUAUAGUCCUUUCCAGGUAGAGCUUGAUCUGAAUUCGCCUCUACUUGAUUUCAAAUCUUGUGUUCGCAGCAGUAGAAGCCACGUCCAACAUUAUUAGAAAUAACCAUUUUCCAAAGCUAGUCAUUAGAGAAACUUUAAAAUUAAAAAAGAAACAUCUAUUCUUUGUGAAUCUCAAGUGACUGGACAAAUGUAAGAUAAACUAAGAAAACGAGGAUGAUGUCUAUCGACUCAACGAUAAUGUUAUUAGGAGCAUUGUUAGGGUAAAGCAUUUUAUAUUCUCAGAGUGGGAUUUGCUUAAUCUAAUAGGAUGAAAGAAAGGCAUUGUAAAUAGACUUGUAGGUAGAAAAAAAGACUUUUUGGUACUUGUAUUCUAAUUGUAUCAUUUGGCCUGCUUUUAUGGUAUUUUGUUUUUACGUGAAUUGACUUGAACUCAAUCUCUUUUUCAAUGAUGUCAAAAAAUUAUACUGUUCCUCUAAUGAUACACUUUGCCUUGUUAUCGAAAUUAAUUGUCCACAGUCUGUGAUUCCAGGGGUCUUACUCUUCGACUUGUCCAGAGCAGGACCGUGGUGAGUUUGGUGUCGGUUCCGAGUUUGCAAGGAGACAACUCAUCUCGCCUGGGAGUUCCACGUCCUUCUCUUUUUUAGGCAUCAGACAUGGUAGCCUUCGGGAGUUCCUCACUGAGAAGAGACCUAGCUCUCUCUCUUCGGUGACCAGGAAGUUUCAAACAGUUUUAUCCACUGUUUCUUUUAUAAAAGAAAACUUUUUUGUUACAAUUUUUUUGGGUCCUAUCUGAAUUCUUUAUCUUAAAAGUAUUUUUCUCACGUUUAGGCUUUUUCAAUUGUUUGUUGCAUUUUGGGUUCUUCAUAUUUUGAGAAGCUAUGUCUCCAGGCCUUAGAGAGGACACAUUCGUGAAUGGCUGUUGCUACAGCUCUUCAGCAUCGUCUUGGGCACGUUGUAGGGGAGAGUAAAGCCAUCGUGACUGUGAAAAUCCUGCAGACUCACUUGCUCCAUCAGUGGGCUGCUUGGGUCUAUCAGCCACAGAGUGGUCUGCUCGCUUCAUUGCUCAGUUCAAAAGGGCAACAGGGAACAGAGAAUCAGCGCAUUAGAAAUGAGGGGAAACAGAGAUAGAAGAUAGGAAUUUUACCCCAGAGUUUCGGGCAUACAACAAAAGUUGCAGGACCUUAUGUUCCUCAUGAAUUUCUGUUCCUUUAUGACUCUGCCCCCAGGUGGACAAACCAGUGGGGGACAUAAUCUCAGACACCCAAAAGUGGGAGCCGGGGCAACUUUCAUGAUUAGGGUUCCAGAAAACGGGGUUGCUGGCAUUUGGGUCACUGUUCAUGCCCUCCGUGGUUUGGUUCCUUGGGUCCUGGGACCUGGAUGGCUGCUGCACACUGGAUCUGUUGGACACAUUGGCCCUGCCCUGACACCUGCCCUCUGUUUUCUCCCUCACUCUCUGCUCUUGCUCCAACUCCUGCCUUUUCCUUCCUACUACAAGUAUAUUGAAAUCUUUGUAGUUCUUUAUCAUUGGUGCCUCUGUUUGUUCUUUUUUAUCUGAGUAUUGUUCCAAUACAAGUUUUUAUCUUAGGAGAGAAAGAGGAAACAUUAGUAUAGUCUGGACAUUUUUAUCGAUGAAUCAAAUUUUAGCAAGGGGAAGUAACAAGGUGCCAAGGGUUGGCCAAACAAUAAAGCCAUUUUCUUUCAAUUAUUAACUAUGACAUAUAUUCUUUUGCAUCACUGCUAUUAAAAUUUAUGAUUCUUAAUGCUGUGUGCUAAUUCAUCUCUUUCAGAUUGUAAUCUAAUGGAAAUAAAUUGUUUGCUUUGGAACCAAAAAGUACAAAGAUGUUGGAGAUAAACCAAGAAUGAACAGAUUGUCCUAGCUAAUAUCUGUUUACAGAUAUUUAAUUUGAACGGAUAGAACUUACAUUUACUGUUCUCUUCAGCUGCAAAAAGAGCACUAUUGAAUGCUGUAUGUUGUCCUGCAAGCUACAGUGAAGUCGCUUUUUAAAAUGUCUGUUGAGAAUUCUAAAUUUCAGUGCACUUCAACUAUUUUCCUUUCCUUUCAUUAAAAUGAAACUUUGCUUAUUAGAUAUGCAUCCGACACAUAUGUUAAAUUUAUUUUGCAAUAUCUAUUAAAAGGAAAAC